rnacentral:tRNA from 1 species
GCCGGGGUAGCCUAGCCUGGUAAGGCGCGAGCCUGGAGAGCUCGUGGGGCAUUACGCCCCUCCUGGGUUCAAAUCCCAGCCCCGGCG